AAGAAAGAGAAAAUUUUUGUUAGCUAUACAUUUAAUGAGGAUUAACAGCUAGAAUAUACAAAGAAAUAAAAAAAUAAGAAAUAGCCCAAUCACAAAACUGAUUUUGUAACUGAACAAUGUUCUCAAAAGAAGAAAUUCAAACAGUUAGUAAAUGUUUUCUAAAAUCUUCAACAUCUUCACCUUUCAGGGAAAAUAAGAAAUUGCUUUAAUAUUUCUUCUCACCCCAGAAUGGCCAUCAUCAAGAGAACAGUAAAUGCAGGACAUCUUACCUGCUCUGGGUCCCAGAAGAAAGUGUGGAAAGGCUGAAUGCUGGAGUGUGAGGAGGAGUAAAGAGAAGCUCUGCUUCUGGUCUGACAUGACUGAUGCAAUCAUGGACACAGCUGCUGUGACUACCUCCACAAGCCCUGCAGAAGAAAGACAGGAGAGUGGGUGAAAGCAGAGGAGAAGGAACAAAGUUACAAACAAAGGAAUUAAGAGAAUUGGAAGGAAGAGUAAAAGGAAAACACAGACAUGUUAGAUUUAUUCUGAGUGCCUGGUAAUGAAGUGGUUGCAUGUUCCCUCUUAAAGAAAAAGUUACAGUCACAUUCAUCCAUUACAAACGAAGACCUGACAAUAAGUUGGGAAUGGCUUAUUUUCUCACAAGCAGGUAACAGGUGGAGCCUUGACUGAGGAGCUCAGGAGCAUUUGAAUUGGAGCAUCUGACAGCUCUUUCUCAUUUUCAAAGACCUCAACUGGUGCUGGGACUUUAGCUCUUCCUUUCCAUUUUCGGAAAGGAGGGAGGGCAGGGGAACUGGAAGGGAAGGCCUUUUGACUGAAGCAGCCCUUUAAAGAACUUUCCAAAAAGAGCCAGUCUGUCAC